GGUCAGAUGGCCGAGUUGGUCUAAGGCGCCAGGUUAAGGUAUUUAAUGCUCACAAAGUAGUUAAUUACAAUCUCCUGGUCUAGUAAUAGGCGUGGGUUCAAAUCCCACUCUGAUCA
rnacentral:tRNA from 1 species